rnacentral:tRNA from 1 species
GCGGGCGUGGUGAAAUUGGUAGACACGCCAGACUUAGGAUCUGGUGCCGCAAGGCUUGGGAGUUCGAGUCUCCCCGCCCGCA